AUACGUAGGGGGCAAGCGUUAUCCGGAUUUACUGGGUGUAAAGGGAGCGUAGGCGGCGAAGCAAGUCAGAUGUGAAAAUCCAGUGCUCAACAUUGGACGUGCAUUUGAAACUGCAGGUCUUGAGUAUCGGAGAGGCAAGCGGAAUUCCUAGUGUAGCGGUGAAAUGCGUAGAUAUUAGGAGGAACACCAGUGGCGAAGGCGGCUUGCUGGGCUGUUACUGACGCUGAGACACGAAAGCGUGGGGAGCAAAUAGGAUUAGAUCCCCUAGUAGUCCACGCCGUAAACGAUGAGUACUAAGUGUCGGGUAACCGGUGCUGAAGUUAACACAUUAAGUACUCCGCCUGAGUAGUACGGUCGCAAGGCUGAAACUCAAAUGAAUUGACGGGG
rnacentral:rRNA from 1 species